UACAGAGGUCUCAAGCGUUGUUCGGAAUUACUGGGCGUAAAGGGUGCGCAGGCCGCGCGGGCAGUCAAAUGUGAAAUUCAGGGGCUCAACCCCUGCAUUGCGCUUGAUACUUCCGCGCUAGAACUUUGGAGAGGAGUCUGGAAUUCUCGGUGUAGCAGUGAAAUGCGUGGAUAUCGAGAAGAACACUUAGGGCGUAGGCAAGACUCUGGACAAAUGUUGACGCUCAUGCACGAAGGCUAGGGUAGCGAACGGG
rnacentral:rRNA from 1 species